AUUACAGAAUCACUUAAAUUUACCAUCUUUCUAAGAUUAGCUGAUUUUUCCCUUUAGGGGAUUGACUAAGGGAGGCCAGCUUUUUGAAUAUCAAAACUGCUUUCUUUUCUAGCCAAAAAAAUCUUGACCCUGGUUCUUUGGGAUUCUCAAAGAUGUAAAGUUUAUUUUUAUGAGCCCUCGUUUUGGCACUACAGAUUAGAAGAAGAAAAAAAAGUAGGUACCCCUGAAGCAAUCACCUACUGGGAGAUGUGGGAGGAGCCACUCUGCGGGAGAAGGGGCCACUGGCUCAUGAUGCAGCUGCUGCCUGCAGAGCCCUGUGCUGCUGGGGAAGCGAGUGAGGCCUCUGCAGCAGAUGGCUGGGACAGCCAUGAGAAGACCAGGAGGUGGCCACAACAACAGUGCUUUCCAGAUGAGGCUGAGACCACAGCCAAGAUCACCACGGGGGUUAGUCUGCCUACCUGA
rnacentral:lncRNA from 1 species